UCUCCGUUGGUGAACCAGCGGAGGGAUCAUUACCGAGUGCAAACUCAUAACCCUUUGUGAAUCUAUAUCUGUUGUUGGGGCGGCCUGCUCGCGGGCGAGCCCGCAGGUAAUUGCAGUAUCUGUGUUUGAACCCGACGGUACCUCUGAGUGUUCUUCGCGAACAGUUAAAACUUUUAACAACGGAUCUCUUGGCUCUG
rnacentral:misc_RNA from 1 species